AAUGAGUUGUGAUGGGGUUUGAUGCUGGCAGCCAAUUNUUUGGAUGCAUGUGCUUGCCCUAACAAUCAUCUUCCAAACACCUGUGCACAUUUUUGAGGGANUUUCGAGUUGAUUGCCGCUUUUGGGUGAUUUUCUUGCAUUCCCUUAAAUCAUUAUACGCUAUUAACAAUUCUGAACGUGCCCUGUGCCGCAAGGCCAUUAAUAUAAUACAACUUUUAACAACGGAUCUCUUGGCUCUCGCAUCGAUGAAGAACGCAGCGAAAUGCGAUAAGUAAUGUGAAUUGCAGAAUUCAGUGAAUCAUCGAAUCUUUGAACGCACCUUGCGCUCCCUGGUAUUCCGGGGAGCACGCCUGUUCGAGUGUCGCGAAAUUUCUCAAGCUUGGAUGGCUUUUUGUCUNUCCUUAGCCUUGGUUGUUGGGCUUUGCCGUGUCUUUAUUGGUACGGCUGGCCUUAAAAGCAUUAGCUGACCCUUGUGUAGCACCGGUUCUACUCAGCGUGAUAACAGUCUGAUCGCUGAGGACAUCUUUUGAGGUGGCCAGUUCUCAUUUGGGUUGCUUCUAAACAUGGUUUCGCAGAUUGUUCAAUCUGUGUUCCACUUUUCAGCUUUGACCUCGAAUCAGGUGGGACUACCCGCUGAACUUAAGCAUAUCAAUAAGCGGAGGAAAGAAACUAACAAGGANUCCCCUAGUAACGGCGAGUGAAGCGGGGAAGAGCUCAAAUUUAAAAUCUGGUAAUCUUUGGUUGCCCGAAUUGUAAUCUAGAGAAGCGUUUCCGUG
rnacentral:rRNA from 1 species